rnacentral:ncRNA from 2 species
GCCCUCACUGCGGGAGAGAUUGGACUUUCUCCAGCGCCGAAGGAGCAACCGCCCCGGAAACUCUCAGGCAAAAGGACCGCAGCACAGCU